AACAUGGCCUUUUGAAUUAUAAUUUAAGGUUUGACCUGCCCAAUGAAUAUUUAAUGGCUGCAGUAUUUUGACUGUACAAAGGUAGCAUAAUCAUUAGUUUUUUAAUUAAAAACUAGUAUGAAUGGUUCAAUGAAAAAAAAUCUGUCUCUAUUUAAAUUAUAAAUAGAAAUUUAUUUUUAAGUUAAAAAGCUUAAAUUAAUUUAAAAGACGAGAAGACCCUAUAGAGUUUUAUAUUAAAUAUAUUAAUAAAUUUUAAGUAUAAAUCGAUUAUUAAUUUAUUUAUUAUUUAGUUGGGGUGACUUUAAAAUUUAAUUAACUUUUUAAUUUUUAUAACAUAAAUUUAUGAUUAAAUGAUCCAUAAAAUAUGAUUAUAAGAUUAAAUUACCUUAGGGAUAACAGCGUAAUUUUUUUGGAGAGUUCUUAUCGAUAAAAAAGGUUGCGACCUCGAUGUUGGAUUAAAAUUUACUAUUGGCGUAGUAGUUGAUAAGUUAGGUCUGUUCGACCUUUAAAAUUUUACAUGAUCUGAGUUUAAACCGGUGUGAGCCAGG
rnacentral:rRNA from 1 species